AGGGCCACUCGCGCGGCGUUGAACGGACCAUUCACCCCUUCCAAGGGCGGACGGCGCCCUCGCGAGGUAGUUGUGGCUCGUGCGAGGCGCGCCGGCCCGC
rnacentral:tRNA from 1 species